GAUGAACGCUGGCGGCGUGCCUAAUACAUGCAAGUCGAGCGAACGGACGAGAAGCUUGCUUCUCUGAUGUUAGCGGCGGACGGGUGAGUAACACGUGGAUAACCUACCUAUAAGACUGGGAUAACUUCGGGAAACCGGAGCUAAUACCGGAUAAUAUUUUGAACCGCAUGGUUCAAAAGUGAAAGACGGUCUUGCUGGCACUUAUAGAUGGAUCCGCGCUGCAUUAGCUAGUUGGUAAGGUAACGGCUUACCAAGGCAACGAUGCAUAGCCGACCUGAGAGGGUGAUCGGCCACACUGGAACGGAGACACGGUCCAGACUCCUACGGGAGGCAGCAGUAGGGAAUCGUCCGCAAUGGGCGAAAGCCUGACGGAGCAACGCCGCGUGAGUGAUGAAGGUCUUCGGAUCGUAAAACUCUGUUAUUAGGGAAGAACAUAUGUGUAAGUAACUGUGCACAUCUUGACGGUACCUAAUCAGAAAGCCACGGCUAACUACGUG
rnacentral:rRNA from 1 species